UGGCUCAGAUUGAACGCUGGCGGCAUGCUUUACACAUGCAAGUCGAACGGCAGCACGAAAGAGCUUGCUCUUUUGGUGGCGAGUGGCGAACGGGUGAGUAAUACAUUGGAACGUACCGAGUAAUGGGGGAUAACUGUCCGAAAGGAUGGCUAAUACCGCAUACGCUCUGAGGAGGAAAGCGGGGGACCUUCGGGCCUCGCGUUAUUCGAGCGGCCAAUGUCUGAUUAGCUAGUUGGUGGGGUAAAGGCCUACCAAGGCGAUGAUCAGUAGUGGGUCUGAGAGGAUGAUCCGCCACACUGGGACUGAGACACGGCCCAGACUCCUACGGGAGGCAGCAGUGGGGAAUUUUGGACAAUGGGCGAAAGCCUGAUCCAGCCAUGCCGCGUGUCUGAAGAAGGCCUUCGGGUUGUAAAGGACUUUUGUCAGGGAAGAAAGGGUUUGGGUUAAUACCCUGAGCUUAUGAC
rnacentral:rRNA from 1 species